rnacentral:tRNA from 1 species
GCCGCCGUAGCUCAGUGGUAGAGCAUCGGACCCGCUAUUCGAAGGUUGCCGGUUCGGUCCCUGCCGGCGGCA